rnacentral:lncRNA from 10 species
GUGCUGGGAUUAUAGGCGUGAGCCACUGUACCUGGCCACUAUUAUUUUCAAAAGCAGAGUAUAAAAUGAUAAAGAAGCCUGGGCAACAUGGUGAGACCUUGUAAAAAUUAGCCAGGUGUGAUGGUGCAUGCUUGCCAUACCAGCUACUCAGGAGGCUGAAGCAGGAGGAUCGUUUGAGUGCCGGAGGUCAAGGCUGCAGUGAGUAAAGUUCAAGCCUCUGUAGUUUAGCCUGGGUGACAGAGCGAGACUCUGUCUCUAAAUAAAUAAAAUGAUCAAGUGGUUUUAAGACAAUUUCUUUACACAUUUAAUCUCUGAAAUUGAGAUGUUUAAAAAUGUCCAACAUCAAAAUUUGCAGAAUGGGAAUUAGUAGCCUUUAUGAAAAUUCCAGAAAAAAACUGGAACUUUUAAAAAAUUCCAAACUCUUUAUCGACAUGUAAAGAAGAGUACAGGUACCAUCAAGUGUACUUAAACUCAAUGAAUUUUCACAAGCUGAAUACAUUCCUGUAACCAGCACUCAGAUUAAGAAACAUUACAAACACCUUGAAACCUCCUUCGUGAGUGGAGAACUUUUAAGAAAUGAGGCAUCACUAAGACUUUUAUUUUUUCUUUCAGAGACUGGGUCUUGCUCUGUCACCUAGGCCAGAGUGCAGUGGUGUAAUCAGAACCCACUGCAGCCUUGAACUCCUGGGCUCCAGAGAUCCUCCACAGGCCCAGGCCAGAAUGCCUAGCUAUUAAUCAUUUUUUAAAAUUUAUUUUUAAUAGAGACAGGGUCUCGCGAUGUUGCCCAGGUUGGUCUCAAAUUUCUGACCUCAAGUGAUCCUCCCACCUUGGCCUCCCAAAGUGCAGGGAUUACAGGUGGGAGCCACUAUGUCUGGCCAGCACUAAGAUUCUUUUUUUUUCUUUUUUUUUUUUUUUUGAGACGGAGUCUCACUCUGUCACCCAGGCUGGAAUGCAGUGACACGAUCUCGGGUCACUGGGAUUACAGGCGCACACCACCAUG